rnacentral:rRNA from 1 species
CUACGUGCCAGCAGCCGCGGUAAUACGUAUGUCACAAGCGUUAUCCGGAUUUAUUGGGCGUAAAGCGCGUCUAGGUGGUUAUGUAAGUCUGAUGUGAAAAUGCAGGGCUCAACUCUGUAUUGCGUUGGAAACUGCAUGACUAGAGUACUGGAGAGGUAAGCGGAACUACAAGUGUAGAGGUGAAAUUCGUAGAUAUUUGUAGGAAUGCCGAUGGGGAAGCCAGCUUACUGGACAGAUACUGACGCUAAAGCGCGAAAGCGUGGGUAGCAAACAGGAUUAGAUACCCUGGUAGUCCACGCCGUAAACGAUGAUUACUAGGUGUUGGGGGUCGAACCUCAGCGCCCAAGCUAACGCGAUAAGUAAUCCGCCUGGGGAGUACGUACGCAAGUAUGAAACUCAAAGGAAUUGACGGGGGCCCGCACAAGCGGAGGAACAUGUGGUUUAAUUCGAUGAUACGCGAGGGACCUUACCCGGGCUUGAAUUGCAGAGGAAGGAUUUAGAGAUA